AGAAGCGCCAUCCAGUGGAGCAGAAAACUCCAUGUGGCUGCUGCUGUAUUUCAUUGAUAGAUGUGAGCAGGGCUGCUGCCUGGGUUUGUUAUUUCUAUUCGAAUAACGCUGUAACAGCAAGUUUAUUUUCAAAUAAAUGAAAAGCUACUCAGUUCCAGAAGGAAGACACUGUCAGGAUCCAUAGAAUAAACACCAGGCGUUUUACUGGUCCCCACGUUUCCUUAACUGUGUAAAGACCAUUAGUUCUUUUCUUCUUAUUAUUUUGGAAACCAGCUCACACUUACACAGGCCUUUAGUAAUUAUGGGAAGGUCAAUCUAACUAAAACCUUUGUAGGCUUCAACAGAUUUUGUUUGACUUUGGUGGUGGCUUUAAACUUUCUCAACUGAUAGGAAGUAUCAGGAAGGUGGUGCUACUCAUGUUUCAAAAUGUCAAGGAUUAUUUUUUCAUGUAAAGUAAUUAAGUUGCUAAGCUAAUGCUAGAGUUAAAACUCCUUUUCCACUCCUGAUACACUGUUAAUGCUACCAGCAACGUGCACCAACUCACUUCACUUGUAACUGCCAAGUUGAACUCACCACUUCCCUGUGAUCACACGAGGCGGAAUAAAACCUGCUGCUCCAUGACCUUCUGUAAUAUUGCACAAAGAAAAACGUUUAACCUCAUUGAACAGCUGGAUGCAAAAUAAUGUGAACUAAAGGAGCAUCGUUUUCACUCUGUGUAUGUGCUUAUAGAGUUCACUUAUUUUGCAGACUGGAGUCUCCCUGGAUUACUCAGACCCGUCUUCAUUGUUCUGGGAUUUGACCCCAGGCUGGUUUCCUCUGCCAAACUCAGCUGUGGAGAAGGAAGCAGCUAUGGCACAGUGUGGGACCUCACACUACACAUGCAAGAUACAGGCAACACUUUCACAGACAGUCCACCCAGGAGCUGAUCUGCUGAAACAGGGACUUGAGAGCUUGGUCAGAUGGUGCUCAAAGUGCAAAGAUUUCAAAGCAACAAUCAGAGUGGCUCGGCAGAGGAAGGGCUGGUGGUGCUUGGAACAGCCUUCACAGGGACAUGGCUGGGAGAGUUACCAUGGGAACGGGAGGAAAGGAGUUCCAUUGCCUUUGUGAUGUGCAAACCCUACUUUCUACAGAGUGACUUGUGCUGCAGAACUGGAAAAACGUUGAUUUUUUUUCCUUAGAAAACGAAAAGUGCAAAAAUAGUAGAACAUUUUCAGAUGAAAACACACAGAGCCUUUUAAGGAGUCAGUCAAAUGUCUCUUUCCAUGCUACUAAUUUUACAGUUUUCAGGAGGCAAUUACUGCCUCGCAAACUCACCUUGCAGACCUUCAUAUCUACAUAGAAAUGAAAGUAUAAAUAGAAUUUCAUAGUUUGCACAUCCCCUCAGCCUCCUAAUUUGACACCCUUCGUCUAGCACUGUUUGCACAGAAAACAGCUGCAUGGGUGGUGUGGGGAGGAGAGGAGAUCAGAGGUAUCCUGACAGGAUUACCUUCACUGUUACAUCACUCUGUAACCACCACAGCACCCUCACAGCUGGGAUCUGCUUUGUAGGGAACCCCCUUCAC